AUAAAAUUAACAACUAUAGGUCACCGUACGGCCUUCAACAAUGAGCAAAGCCCAUACCGCAUAGUCAGCUAUAAAAAGCCCCGAUAAGACAAUGUAAAACAAUUCAAACGAGAAAACUAACGGCCGUAUCUAUGUAAAAAAAUGAACUAAAAACAAAUAUGUAACACAUAAACAAACGACAACCACUGAAUUACAGGCUCCUGACUUGGGACAGGC
rnacentral:lncRNA from 1 species